rnacentral:lncRNA from 1 species
AGAUUUAUGGAACAUUAGACCAAUAACCCUAAGGUCCUAACUCUGCAGUGGGGCAGAAUAAAACAUUCUGAUGGUGAGAGAAAUAGAUUUUCCCAGAGACUAACAUACUAAGUGAUUGUCCACUACAAAAUGGAAAACCAGAAAAACAUAUAUGCAAAGUGUAGAAUCUACGGCUGCUUGGCUUCAUUGAUACUGAUUUAAGAGCACUCUCAUGAGAAGGAGCAUAUAUAUGUCUGAGCAAAGUACCUCCUCGCUUGGUUGUCAGGAAGGAGAAGCGCUUAGCCUUAAAGACAGAAGCCUUGAAGAACUGUCUUCAGAGAGUAACCACCCAGCAGCAGAAUGAAACAGACACAGAGGCCCACGAUCAACCAUUGGAUAGAGCUCAGAAACUCUUAUGGAAGAGUUGUGGAAAGGACUGAUGGCUCCAAAAGUGACAGAAACCUCAUAGGAAGACCAUUAGAGUGAAAUAACUUGCAUUCUUGAGGCCUCUCAGAAACAAAUGAACCACCAACCAGAGACCAUACAUGGGUUUGACCUAGCCCCCCUACAUGUAUGUAGCAGAUGUGAAGCUUGGUCUUCACGUGGUCCACAAAGAACUGGAGCAGAGUUUCUUCCUUGAGCUGUUGCCUGUCUACGGGAUCUGUUCCCCUGAAAGAGCUAUCUUCUCUGGCCACAGUGGGAGAGAAUAUGCCUAACACUGCAAAACCUUAAUGUAGCCUUUUGGGGAGAUACUCAGGGGCACCUCUACUCUCUCAAAGAACAGGAGGAGAGAUGGGGAGAUCGACUGGUGGGGGGAUGAGGAGGGCGUACAGCAAUUGGCAUGUAAAGUGAAUAGAUAGACAGAUGAGAUAGAUUGUGGGGUGGUGAGCUGUGCACAGACAGCCUGGUCGAGCACGGGCCUUGAAUCCUGGUGACCUUAAGGGACAGCAGGUGUUUGGCCAUGCCUCCUGGGCCCCUGGCUCAUGGCCCAGCUACAAUCUCGCAAAGACUUCUCCCGCACCCCCCCCCCCCCACACACACACCUUGCAGAGAGAUGUGUGGCCAUCAGUCACAUAGGCAAUGCCCCAGCUUCUGGUAUUCUGUCUGGACUCCAUCCCCACAGUUACCUGGAAAUAGCCAGGUAGACUCAGUACACUCUAAAAGGGGCCGUUUGCCUCCUCCUCCCUCUCUUACUCUCUUACUCUCUUGCUUUUACUCUCUUAUUCUUGCCUCUCACCCUCCAGCUUCCCCUGUCUUCCCCCCUCACCCCCCCAACAUGUGGCCCUGACUGGCUUCUACUUCCCUAUUCUCUUCCUCUCGCCUUUCUAUAAUAAAUGACUUAAAAUUGUCUUUCUCAUCUGGAUCUGCCUGCUGGAGCAAUGGGGCAGGACCUCCCCCACCACCCCCAGGCCUCCCUGCACUCUCCAGCCAUGGCUUCCACCAAGCAAGCCACUGCAGACUCUUGUCCUGUGCCCUGCACUUUUCCCUCUGCCUGAGGGCCCACACCUGUUCUCAGCUCUUCUAUGGUAUACAGCAGUGCCUGAGAUGCCUGAGAGCUUGAGAACCUGUUGUCCUCAUCCUUCAUACAGGCCUGAGGACCCCAGCCAACUCUGGCAGGUUUUGUAGGGACCUUAAACUCUGUACCUUCCCCACCCUCAGAGCAGGGUAGUGUGGCUUCCCACAGCCUGAUGCCCACCCGGUGGUGUCAUGGGGGUGGUGAUGUCAUGGGGGUGUGUGCAGUCAACUCGGGACCCUAUUUUUACCCCACAAUAGAGAGAAAGGGAGGAGGGAGGAGGGAGGAGGGAGGAGGGAGGAGGAGAGGGAGGAAGGAGGGAGGAGAGAAGAGGAGAGAGAGGGAGAGGGAGGAGGGAGGAGAGAAGAGGAGAGAAAGAGAGGGAGGAGGGAGAGGGAGGGGAGAAAACUUGGGAAAAUCUUCCAUUUUGUAUUACAAACAGUCUGCCAAGGCUCCAUGUCUCAAUGACAAGUGAUUGGCAGUUAUCAGCUGCUGGAAGAGAUUCAUUUUUCUUCAUGAUGGCUAUUGAUUUGUUUCUCACUUCUGGGUGACUAAUUGAAUGUCCAUGCACAUGUGUGAAGCACUAACAGGAUACAGUGGCAAAGACUAUCUAUGGGUAACUAAUGACUGGGACCAUCAGCCUCUCUGAAAAAUAAACACCCUCAGUGAUUAUCCACUGCAAAUCAUCUGAAACCAUGUGCAAAUAAACAAGAAAACAGACUUAGUAAGCUGUAUUUAUAUGUUUGUGCACACAAAUACAUGUAUAUACUACUACAACUACAACUACUGCUACGGCUACGACUACGACUACGACUAUGACUACGACUACUACUACUAUAAUGAAGACAUCAAUGUCCCUAAGAAAGGACAUAUAAGGUUUGGAAUAAAGAUACUUCUAGGAAGGAGAAAGAACAGAAAAAAGUUUUAUAUUUCUGUUUAAAUAAAAAUGUAUU